rnacentral:ncRNA from 1 species
UUAAGAAAAGUUAUAUAGUACGAGAGGAACAAUAAGUGAUGACCUCUGGUGCAGCGAUUAAUUAUUCAAUUAUGUUGCAAAACUACGUCAUGAAUAAUAAAUGCUGAAAGCCUCUUAAGCAUGAAGUUAAUCUUAAUGAUAAACAACUGAGGAAUACUACCUCUCUGAAGAGUGGGACUGUAAGAAUGAAGGUGUAUACCGACAUUUUGAGGUUACCAUUUCGUUCUGUAA